AACGAACGCUGGCGGCGUGGAUUAGGCAUGCAAGUCGAACGUGAAAGGGGCUUCGGCCCUGAGUAAAGUGGCAAACGGGUGAGUAACGCGUGGAGAACCUGCCCGGAAGCGGGGGAUAACACUUCUAACGAGGUGCUAAUACCGCAUGUGUCUGCGUGAGCGCAUGCUCGCGCAGGUAAACGUGGCCUCUGCUCGCAAGCUACGGCUUCCGGAUGGCUCUGCGUCUCAUUAGCUAGUUGGUGGGGUAACGGCUCACCAAGGCGACGAUGGGUAGCUGGUCUGAGAGGAUGGUCAGCCACACUGGGACUGAGAUACGGCCCAGACUCCUACGGGAGCAGCAGUCGAGAGCUUCCGCAAUGGGGAAACCCUGACGGAGCGACGCCGCGUGAGCGAUGAAGGCC
rnacentral:rRNA from 1 species